UGCCUAAACCCAUCGAUUUUUCAAUGGGCAUGGCUCAAAACCACAGACAUACUGAACCCGUCGUUCAGGCCCCAUGUCUGUGGUCAUAUCUCGAAAGGGAUAUGGAGGCGAAAGCCUC
rnacentral:sRNA from 12 species